UGAUGAUCCAUGGUUUAAUAAAUCGCUAUAGAAUCCCAAGAAAUGUUGUGUUAGAUUUGUGCGCGGAUUAAGCCCCUAAUCUGGAAAGGAAGACACCUGUAAUCAUGCCAUACCCGUAUCUGUCAUGGAAAUAGUUCUGCAGGAGGAGUGAAGUCAGGCGCAGGAGACUCAGCACUGAGGAGCCUGACGGGCCAGACGGAUUACCAGGACGUGGACCAACUGGCAAGUGUCUUCACUGACAUGUUCAACCUCUCCCUGUCUGAGUCUGUAAUACCAACAUGUUUCAAGCAGACCACUAUAGUCCCUGGGCCCAAGAACACGAAGAUCCACAGAUGAUGCAAUCUCCAUUGCACUCCACACUGCCCUUUCACACCUGGACUAGAGGAACACCUAUGUGAGAAAGCUAUUCAUUGACUACAGCUCAGCGUUCAACACCAUAGUACCCUCAAAGCUCAUCACUAAGCUAAGGACCCUGGGACUAAACACCUCCCUCUGCAACUGGAUCCUGGACUUCCUGACGGGCC
rnacentral:lncRNA from 1 species